AUUGAACGCUGGCGGCAGGCCUAACACAUGCAAGUCGAACGGUAACAGAAAGCAGCUUGCUGCUUUGCUGACGAGUGGCGGACGGGUGAGUAAUGUCUGGGAAACUGCCUGAUGGAGGGGGAUAACUACUGGAAACGGUAGCUAAUACCGCAUAACGUCGCAAGACCAAAGAGGGGGACCUUCGGGCCUCUUGCCAUCGGAUGUGCCCAGAUGGGAUUAGCUAGUAGGUGGGGUAACGGCUCACCUAGGCGACGAUCCCUAGCUGGUCUGAGAGGAUGACCAGCCACACUGGAACUGAGACACGGUCCAGACUCCUACGGGAGGCAGCAGUGGGGAAUAUUGCACAAUGGGCGCAAGCCUGAUGCAGCCAUGCCGCGUGUAUGAAGAAGGCCUUCGGGUUGUAAAGUACUUUCAGCGGGGAGGAAGGGAGUAAAGUUAAUACCUUUGCUCAUUGACGUUACCCGCAGAAGAAGCACCGGCUAACUCCGUA
rnacentral:rRNA from 1 species